rnacentral:tRNA from 1 species
GCCAGUUUGGCCGAGUGGUUAAGGCGUCCGACUCAAGAUCGGAUACCCGGAAGGGUGCGUGGGUUCGAGCCCCACAGCUGGCA